UACGGGGGGAGCAAGCGUUGUUCGGAUUUACUGGGCGUAAAGGGCGCGUAGGCGGCCACCGCAAGUCAGUUGUGAAAUCUCCGGGCUUAACCCAGAAAGGUCAACUGAUACUGCGGGGCUAGAGUGCAGAAGGGGCAACUGGAAUUCUCGGUGUAGCGGUGAAAUGCGUAGAUAUCGAGAGGAACACCUGCGGCGAAGGCGGGUUGCUGGGCUGACACUGACGCUGAUGCGCGAAAGCUAGGGGAGCGAACGGG
rnacentral:rRNA from 1 species